rnacentral:rRNA from 1 species
AGAGUUUGAUCAUGGCUCAGGACGAACGCUGGCGGCGUGCUUAACACAUGCAAGUCGAACGAUGACGGUGGUGCUUGCACCACCUGAUUAGUGGCGAACGGGUGAGUAACACGUGAGUAACCUGCCCCUCACUUCGGGAUAACCUCGGGAAAUCGUGGCUAAUACCGGAUAUGAGCUCCUGCCGCAUGGUGGGGGUUGGAAAGAUUUAUCGGUGAGGGAUGGACUCGCGGCCUAUCAGUUUGUUGGUGAGGUAAUGGCUCACCAAGACGAUGACGGGUAGCCGGCCUGAGAGGGCGACCGGCCACACUGGGACUGAGACACGGCCCAGACUCCUACGGGAGGCAGCAGUGGGGAAUAUUGCACAAUGGGCGAAAGCCUGAUGCAGCGACGCCGCGUGGGGGAUGACGGCCUUCGGGUUGUAAACCCCUUUCAGUAGGGAAGAAGCGAAAGUGACGGUACCUGCAGAAGAAGCGCCGGCUAACUACGUGCCAGCAGCCGCGGUAAUACGUAGGGCGCAAGCGUUGUCCGGAAUUAUUGGGCGUAAAGAGCUCGUAGGUGGCUUGUCGCGUCUGCCGUGAAAACCCGAGGCUCAGCCUCGGGCGUGCGGUGGGUACGGGCAGGCUAGAGUGUGGUAGGGGAGACUGGAACUCCUGGUGUAGCGGUGAAAUGCGCAGAUAUCAGGAAGAACACCGAUGGCGAAGGCAGGUCUCUGGGCCAUUACUGACACUGAGGAGCGAAAGCAUGGGUAGCGAACAGGAUUAGAUACCCCGGUAGUCC